rnacentral:rRNA from 1 species
GAUUUUCGUCGUGCACGCCCAAAGCACUCUCACACAAUCCAUCUCACCCCUAUGUGCACCACCGCGUGGGUCCCUCUUGGGCUCGUUCCGAGGGGGGCUCGCGUUUUCACACAAACUUGAAGUAGUGUAGAAUGUCUUUUUUUUUGCGAUGACACGCAAUCAAUACAACUUUCAACAACGGAUCUCUUGGCUCUCGCAUCGAUGAAGAACGCAGCGAAAUGCGAUACGUAAUGUGAAUUGCAGAAUUCAGUGAAUCAUCGAAUCUUUGAACGCACCUUGCGCCCCUUGGCAUUCCGAGGGGCACACCCGUUUGAGUGUCGUGAAAUUCUCAAAACCCUUCCUUUGCUGGAAAGGAUUUUGGACUUGGAGGUCUUUUGCUGGCUUCACCUCGAAGCGAGCUCCUCCUAAAUGGAUUAGUGGGGUCUGCUUUGCCGAUCCUUGACGUGAUAAGAUGUUUCUACGUCUCGGGCUUUGGCACUGUACCUCUGCUUCUAACCGUCUCAUUGACAAUGAUGGUGUUCCGGUCACCGCCGAUUCGUCGGUGGGAGGCUUGACCCACAAA